UACGAAGGGGGCUAGCGUUGCUCGGAAUUACUGGGCGUAAAGGGCGCGUAGGCGGACAUUUAAGUCAGAGGUGAAAGCCCAGGGCUCAACCUUGGAAUUGCCUUUGAUACUGGAUGUCUUGAGUUCGGGAGAGGUGAGUGGAAUGCCGAGUGUAGCGGUGAAAUUCGUAGAUAUUCGGCGGAACCCCAGUGGCGAAGGCGGCUCCCUGGCCCGAUACUGCCGCUGAGGCGCGUAAGCGUGGGGAGCAACCAGG
rnacentral:rRNA from 1 species